GACAGAGGGUGCAAACGUUGUUCGGAAUUACUGGGCGUAAAGCGCGUGUAGGUGGCCCGGCAAGUUGGAUGUGAAAGCCCUCGGCUCAACUGGGGAAGUGCAUCCGAAACUACCGGGCUCGAGUGUCGGAGAGGGAAGUGGAAUUCCCGGUGUAGAGGUGAAAUUCGUAGAUAUCUGGAGGAACACCGGUGGCGAAGGCGACAUCCUGGACCGGUAUUGACGCUGAGGCGCGAAAGCCAGGGGAGCAAACGGG
rnacentral:rRNA from 1 species